CCUACGGGCGGCAGCAGUGAGGAAUAUUGGUCAAUGGACGAGAGUCUGAACCAGCCAAGUAGCGUGAAGGAUGACUGCCCUAUGGGUUGUAAACUUCUUUUAUAUGGGAAUAAAAUGUUCCACGUGUGGGAUUUUGUAUGUACCAUAUGAAUAAGGAUCGGCUAACUCCGUGCCAGCAGCCGCGGUAAUACGGAGGAUCCGAGCGUUAUCCGGAUUUAUUGGGUUUAAAGGGAGCGUAGGUGGAUUGUUAAGUCAGUUGUGAAAGUUUGCGGCUCAACCGUAGAAUUGCAGUUGAAACUGGCAGUCUUGAGUACAGUAGAGGUGGGCGGAAUUCGUGGUGUAGCGGUGAAAUGCUUAGAUAUCACGAAGAACUCCGAUUGCGAAGGCAGUUCACUGGACUGCAACUGACACUGAGGCUCGAAAGUGUGGUUAUCAAACAGGAUUAGAUACCCCAGUAGUC
rnacentral:rRNA from 1 species